UUAACAAAAAGUAGAUAUUCCAACCACCAAGUAUAAGAGAAACCUGAAAGUGUUGCUAGUGAAAAUCUGAAUUACAGAAAAUAGUUGCUAUGGUUAUCAUGCUCCCUUCCAUGUUCUCAUCAAAUACGCUGUAAUCACU